AGAGUUUGAUCCUGGCUCAGAGUGAACGCUGGCGGCGUGCCUAACACAUGCAAGUCGAACGAGAACGGAUAUAAGUUUACUUAUAUUGUCAGCUAAGUGGCGCACGGGUGAGUAAUAUAUAGUUAAUCUGCCCUGAAGAAGAGAAUAAUUGUUGGAAACGACUUGUAAUGCUCUAUAUGCCUUUAUCACAUAAGUGAGCAAGGGAAAUAUUUAUAGCUUCGGGAUGAGACUGUACGGUAUCAGCUAGUUGGUGAGGUAAUGGCUCACCAAGGCUAUGACAUCUAACUGGUUUGAGAGGAUGAUCAGUCACACUGGAACUGAGACACGGUCCAGACUCCUACGGGAGGCAGCAGUGGGGAAUAUUGCACAAUGGAGGAAACUCUGAUGCAGCAACGCCGCGUGGAGGAUGACACAUUUCGGUGCGUAAACUCCUUUUAUUAGGGAAGAUAAUGACGGUACCUAAUGAAUAAGCACCGGCUAACUCCGUGCCAGCAGCCGCGGUAAUACGGGGGGUGCAAGCGUUACUCGGAAUCACUGGGCGUAAAGAGCAUGUAGGCUGAUUAGUAAGUUGGAAGUGAAAUCCUAUGGCUCAA
rnacentral:rRNA from 1 species